rnacentral:rRNA from 1 species
UAGUCCACGCCGUAAACGAUGUUCACUCGCUGUUUGUGAUAUACUACAAGUGGCCAAGCGAAAGCAUUAAGUGAACCACCUGGGGAGUACGUUGGCAACAAUGAAACUCAAAGGAAUUGACGGGGACCCGCACAAGCGGUGGAACAUGUGGUUUAAUUCGAUGAUACGCGAGGAACCUUACCUGGACUUAAAUGUAGGUUGCAUGGAGUGGAGACAUUCCUUUCUUCGGACUACCUACAAGGUGCUGCAUGGUUGUCGUCAGCUCGUGCCGUGAGGUGUCGGGUUAAGUCCCAUAACGAGCGCAACCCCUAUCGUUAGUUGCCAUCAGGUUAAGCUGGGGACUCUAACGAAACUGCCCGUGCAAACGGAGAGGAAGGUGGGGAUGACGUCAAAUCAGCACGGCCCUUACGUCCAGGGCUACACACGUGUUACAAUGGCAUAGACAGAGGGCAGCUACCAGGCAACUGGAUGCGAAUCUCGAAACUGUAGUCUCAGUUCGGA